GACGAACGCUGGCGGCGUGCCUAAUACAUGCAAGUAGGACGCAGUUGCGAACGGGUGAGUAACGCGUAGGUAACUACCUAUUAGAGGGGGAUAACUAUUGGAAACGAUAGCUAAUACCGCCUACUAGUAGAUGGACCUGCUUUGUAUUAGGUAGUCGGUUGGGUAAUGGCCUACCUAGGCAACGAUACAUAGCCGACCUGAGGGGGUUGUCGGCCACACUGGGACUGGGACACGGCCCAGACUCCCUACGGAGGGAGCAAGAGGGAAACUUCGGCAAUGGGGGGAACGCUGACCGAGCAACGCCGCGUGAGUGAAGAAGGUUUUCGGAUUGUAAAGCUCUGUUGUUAAGGAAGCGGUACUUAACCAGAAAGCGACGGCUAACUACGUGCCAGCAGCCGCGGUAAUUC
rnacentral:rRNA from 1 species